rnacentral:rRNA from 1 species
UACGUAGGGUGCAAGCAUUAUCCGGAGUGACUGGGCGUAAAGAGUUGCGUAGGUGGUCAGUAAAGUGAAUAGUGAAAUGUGGCGGCUCAACCGUACACACUAUUAUUCAAACUCACUGACUCGAGAAUGGUAGAGGUAACUGGAAUUUCUUGUGUAGGAGUGAAAUCCGUAGAUAUAAGAAGGAACACCAAUGGCGUAGGCAGGUUACUGGACCAUUUCUGACACUAAGGCACGAAAGCGUGGGGAGCGAACCGG